rnacentral:rRNA from 1 species
UACGUAGGGUGCAAGCGUUAAUCGGAAUUACUGGGCGUAAAGCGUGCGCAGGCGGUUAUGUAAGACAGGUGUGAAAUCCCCGGGCUCAACCUGGGAACCGCAUCUGUGACUGCAUAGCUAGAGUACGGUAGAGGGGGAUGGAAUUCCGCGUGUAGCAGUGAAAUGCGUAGAUAUGCGGAGGAACACCGAUGGCGAAGGCAAUCCCCUGGACCUGUACUGACGCUCAUGCACGAAAGCGUGGGGAGCAAACAGG